AAUGCUCUGUUUCUAUUUAGUAAUUGUUUUCACCUCUAGUACAGGAAGUCUGUAAAAGGUAUAUCAUGCUUCGGUGAAAUUAGAGCAAGUCAUGAGGAGGUACCUAAAAGAUCGAUCAUGAGGAGGUACCUAAAAGAUCGAUCAUGGUUGUGAAUAUAUGUUGGACCAAUAUAAUGUGUCUCGAACCUUAUGUUUACCCACGUAGGUCUAUCUUGUGUGGGGGAAAACCCUGGUUGCUUUCUGUCUUCGUUGAACUGUGUGUCUCUAUAUCAUUUCGAGAAAUAUACUGGGUGCGCCUCUUUUUUCCCCCGAAUGAUCAUUUAUUGUUGGG
rnacentral:lncRNA from 1 species